UACGAAGGGGGCUAGCGUUGCUCGGAAUCACUGGGCGUAAAGGGUGCGUAGGCGGGUCUUUUAAGUCAGGGGUGAAAUCCUGGAGCUCAACUCCAGAACUGCCUUUGAUACUGAGGAUCUUGAGUUCGGGAGAGGUGAGUGGAACUGCGAGUGUAGAGGUGAAAUUCGUAGAUAUUCGCAAGAACACCAGUGGCGAAGGCGGCUCACUGGCCCGGUACUGACGCUGAGGAGCGAAAGUGUGGGGGAGCAAACGGGG
rnacentral:rRNA from 1 species